UACGGGGGGGGCAAGCGUUGUUCGGAAUUACUGGGCGUAAAGGGCUCGUAGGCGGCCAACUAAGUCAGACGUGAAAUCCCUCGGCUUAACCGGGGAACUGCAUCUGAUACUGGAUGGCUUGAGAUUGGGAGAGGGAUGCGGAAUUCCAGGUGUAGCGGUGAAAUGCGUAGAUAUCUGGAGGAACACCGGUGGCGAAGGCGGCAUCCUGGACCGAGAUUGACACUGAGGCACGAAAGCGUGGGGAUCAAACAGG
rnacentral:rRNA from 1 species